GGCAGGAGAGUCACAUCAUCAGGGGGCUCAGAGAUAUGGUCCAAUGUCACCAGUAGGCAGGGCUCAGGCAGAAGAAGACAGUCAUAUCAUAUAGGUGCUUCUUUAAGUAUAUGUCACAAUUUAAUAUGUGGGCAGAACCCAGGCUGCAGAGCCACAUCACCUGGUCCUGGGUCCAGAGAUAUUCACCAGUCCCCCUUAGAAAAGGAUCCAAGCAAGAGAGUUCCAUCACCUAGGUGCAGGUUCCACCCUUAUGUCACAAUGCUCGAUGUGGGCAGGGCCAAGCAGGAAGUCACAUCACCUAGGUGAUAGGCCCAGAGAUAUGUCACAAAGCCUUCCUUAAAGCAUGGCCCUGGCAAAAGAGUACCAUCACCUUUUUGCAUAGCCUAGCAAUAUGUCACUAUUCAAGUGGUAGGUCCCAAGAAGAGCCAUAUCACCUACAUGAUAGGCCCUCUGAUAUGUCAAAAUGUUCUCUUUUGGGCAUGGCCUGGCAAAAAAGUAUCAUCACCUGUGUGCCUGGCCUAGGAAUAUGUCACUAUUCUGCCCUGUGUGUAGGGUCUUUUCCAGAGAGGAGAGUUACAUCUUCUAAGUGAUGGACACAGAGAUAUGUCACGAUGAUGUCUGUGGGCAUGGUGCAGCUGCGUGCUGGAUCCAGUGAUGUCACAAUUCUUACUGAGAGUAGGGCCCAGGCAGAAGAGUUCUUUAACACUUCAAGGUUGGCCCAGGUAGAUAUCAAAAUCCCAUAUGUAGGCUGGAACCAGUCUGAAGAGUGAAAUCUCACAGGUGCUUGGCAAAGAUUUAUAUCACAUGAAAUUUAUAUCACAUGACUAUCACGAUGAAAUAAAAUUUUAGGGAUUAGAUUUACAAUACCACACAUGUUCUGUUUUCAUGUAGGACAGUUGCCUUCAUCCAUCUGUGAUGGUGAAAGUCCUUACUGUCAGGUGGGUGUGCAUAUGAGACUCACAAUUUUCUCCAUGUGCUAGGCCCUGUUCUGACACUCUCUAUACAACCCAAGGGUGUUAUAAAAUAUGUGUGUGUUAUAAUCUUCUGUGACCUUUUUACCAGAAGGAGACCCUUUACAUCACUCAUGUCCCUAAACCUAGUUAUGAGUCAAAAUUUCUCCUAUUGGCUGGGUCCACAUAUGAGUCAUUAUCAUGCCCGUUAGCUGUGCCUAGGUAUGUGUCACCAUCCCCUCUGUAGUUAUUAAACAGGCAGGACAACCACAUCACCUAAAUCCUAAGCCAGAAAUAUUCCAAUAUUCUCUUUGUAGGCAGGGCCCUAACAGAAAAGUCACAAAACUUGGGUGCUAGGCUCAGCUCUAUGGCAUAAUGCCUCUUGUGGAGAACAUCCAGGCAGGAAAGGAGAGUCGCAUCACCUAAGUGAUGGGCCUAGAGAUAUGUCACAACUCCUGUUAAAAGGGCCCAGGCAAGAGAGUCAUGUCAUUUGGAUGCAGUGCUUAGAAAUGCUACACUCUUCACUGGAAGCAGGGUUCAGGUAGGAGAGGAGAGUCACAUAACCUAGAUGAUGGGUCCAGAGAUAUGUGACGGUCCCUUCUGAGGACACUGUUAAGAUAUGAGAGUCAAAUCACCAAGGUUCUUGGCCCAGGUAUACGUCAAUAUGUCAUCUGUGGGCUAUAACAGGCAGGAUUAUUAAAUCACUCAGGAGGUGGGCACAGGUAUAUGUCACAAUAACACCUGUGGAAAUGUUCAGGGAUGAGAGUCACCAUCCUGCACAAGUCCUGGCUCCAGGUACAAGAGUCCUUAUUAGGCCUUUGAUCUGGUCUCUGGUAUAUGGCACAAUAUCACCUGUGAACAGAGAACAAGCAGGAAGGUCACAUCAUCUGCGCGGGUGCUGGUCCAGUGAGAUGUCACAAUCUUUCUGUGAGCAGGACCCUGGAAGAAGAGUCACAUCAUCUGGAUGCUGGUUUUAGUGAUAUAUCAAAAUUCCCCCUGUGGGCAGGUGUUAGUAAGGUGAGGACACUGACUUCACCUAGGCAAUUGGCCUAGAUCUGUGUCACAAUGGCCGCUAUGUGCAAAACCAAGAUAUGAAAGUGACCUCACCUUGGCACUGGGUUUAGCAAUAUGUCACAAUCUCCUCUGUGGUCAGGGCAAGGCAAGAGAGGAGAAAAAUCACCUUGGUGCUUAACAAAGCUUCCUGUUGGCACAACCCAAAGCGCAGAGUCAUAUCACCUGGGUGCAGUACCCAGUUAUGUGUCACAAUGCAUCAUAAGUGCAGGGCCAAGGCAGUAGAAGGGAGUCAC
rnacentral:lncRNA from 1 species